rnacentral:rRNA from 1 species
CAGCAGCCGCGGUAAUACGAGGGGGGCUAGCGUUGCUCGGAAUGACUGGGCGUAAAGGGUGCGUAGGCGGCGAUCAAAGUCAGGCGGGAAAUUCCUGGGCUCAACCUGGGGGCUGCGCUUGAUACUUGGUUGCUUGAGUGGGGAAGAGGGUCGUGGAAUUCCCAGUGUAGAGGUGAAAUUCGUAGAUAUUGGGAAGAACACCGGUGGCGAAGGCGGCGACCUGGUCCUUGACUGACGCUGAGGCGCGAAAGCGUGGGGAGCAAACAGGAUUAGAUACCCCGGUAGUCCCUGUCUCUUAUAA